rnacentral:rRNA from 1 species
UGAGUUUGAUCCUGGCUCAGAAGGAACGCUAGCUAUAUGCUUAACACAUGCAAGUCAAACGUUGUUUUCGGGGAGCUGGGCAGAAGGAAAAGAGGCUCCUAGCUAAAGUUGUCUCGCCCUGCUUCAAAACUACAGGGCGCGCGCUACGGCUUUGACCUAACGGCCUCCGUUUGCUAGAAUCGGAAUAGUUGAGAACAAAGUGGCAAAUGGGUGCGUAACGCGUGGGAAUCUGCCGAACAGUCUGGGCCAAAUCCUGAAGAAAGCUCAAAAGCGCUGUUUGAUGAGCCUGCAUAGUAUUAGUUAGUUGGUCAGGUAAAGGCUGACCAAGCCAAUGAUGCUUAGCUGGUCUUUUCGGAUGAUCAGCCACACUGGGAUUGAGACACGGCCCGGACUCCCACGGGGGGCAGAAGUGGGGAAUCUUGGACAAUGGGCGAAAGCCCGAUUCGGCAAUUUCGCAUGAGUGAAGAAGGGCAAUGCCGCUUGUAAAGCUCUUUCGUCGAGUGCACGAUCAUGACAGGACUCGAGGAAGAAGCCCCGGCUAACUCUCUGCCAGCAGCCGCGGUAAGACACGGGGGGGGGGGGCAAGUGUUGUUUGGAAUGACUGGGCGUAAAGGGUACAUAGGCGGUGAAUCGGGUUGAAAGUGAAAGUUGCCAAAAAGUGGCGAAAUGCUCUCGAAACUAAUUCACUUGAGUGAGACAGAGGAGAGUGGAAUUUCAUGUGUAGGGGUGAAACCUGUAGAUCUACGAAGGAACGCCAAGAGCGAAGGCAGCUCUCUGGGUCCCUACCGACACUGGGGUGCGAAAGCAUGGGGAGCGAACAGGAUUAGAUACCCUGGUAGUCCAUGCCAAAAAUGAUGAAUAUUUGCCCUGGGUCUAGAUGGGAUAUCACGGCUACAAAAGGUUGCGGCGGCGGAAAAGUGUUCUCGUGGAUGCAUCUGUUGGUUUGGGGAUAUAUGGGAAUAUAUAGGAGAAAGAAUUAGGCCAGGAAGUGCAGGAGGGGCCCACAAGGGUGGGGGCGCGCCCUACCCCCUAGGUGAGCCCUCCAUUGUCGGUGAGGACGACACCUAUUGGAUCACUGGGAUCCCUUCUAUGGUCGGCGAGCGCGGGGUCGUAAGAAGAGCAGGUUUAGGAGCUAGCACAUGGAUCGUUUACCCAGGUUCGGGCCGCGAGGAUGCGUAAAACCCUAGUCCUACUUUGGUGGAUGUAUUGAGUGUUCUUGGGCUUUCGAACUAGCUAUGGUGGCCGUGUAGUUCCAAAAAGCCGAAUCCCUCUCCUGGUCGCCUCAGGCCUCCUUUUAUAGGGAAAAGGGGUUGCCAUAGUGGCACACAGGAGGUGGAAAGGCCUACAGUGCGCGAGCUUAUCGCACGACAUUACGGGACAAAGUGCAUUAAAUGCGCUACUUAGGUGUCCAUUAGCUUUAUCGGGGACGGGAACGAGG